rnacentral:rRNA from 1 species
CGGCGAGCGAACAGGGAGGAGCCCAAACCGGAGUAAUCCGGGGUAGAAGGACCUUCAGAAAUGACUGAACAUGAUAGACGAAUGGUCUGGGAAGGCCAACCGGAGGGGGUGAGAGUCCCGUAGGUGAAAUUGUGUGAAGCAGGGAAGGGAUCCUGAGUACGGCGGGACACGAGAAAUCCCGUCGGAAGCAAAGAGGACCAUCUCGUAAGGCUAAAUACUACCUAGUGACCGAUAGUGAACCAGUACCGUGAGGGAAAGGUGAAAAGAACCCCGGAAGGGGAGUGAAAGAGAACCUGAAACCGUGUGCCUCCAACUAGUCAGAGCCCGUUAAAGGGUGAUGGCGUGCCUUUUGUAGAAUGAACCGGCGAGUUACGAUAUCGUGCAAGGUUAAGUUGAAGAGACGGAGCCGAAGCGAAAGCGAGGCUGAAUAGGGCGAGGAGUACGAUGUUGUAGACCCGAAACCGUGUGAGCUAGCCAUGAGCAGGCUGAAGGUCAGGUAA